UCAACCAUCAAGCCUGGCUUGUCGUUGGACUCGUGGUCGUCAUGACCGGUCCGAAAGAUAAUGGACGGCGGUGAUUAGCCCCCGAUGCAACGAGCUUUUGAUAGCACGCAUUGCAGGGUUGGUCACCCCCGGCCUCACACUCCAUUUUCUCAGG
rnacentral:misc_RNA from 1 species